UGAAAAUUUAAAACAGAGAACUUUAAACGUCCCGAAUGGAGAGAGAUGGGAGCUGGGCAUGGCAUGGGAAGUUCUUGCUCUUAAAGCUACGCCCCCUGGUGGACCCGGAAAGACAACACAUGAACACAUUCCCUCAGUUCCAUCAUCCAGUCAACUAAAAUUUCCUUUUUCAUACCUUUCUGAAUUCUCAUAGGAAGAUAUUUUAUCACCUAGAGACCCCAGCUGGCCUCUGCACAGGGCAGGCAGUGAGACAAUCUCUAUGGAUUAUGUAUAGAGCAAGCUCAUUGCAGAAGUUCAUGUCAAAGAAGAAAGAGAUUUACAAGACCGAGAGAAGAAUCAGUUGCUUUUCCUUCAUGACACAUCCUGGCCUUGGUAAUUCAAGUGUGCUGCCUGAGUUGAGAACCACUGAUGAAGGGACAACUAAGAAGACCAUCUAUUUUUUCAAGAAGGACUCAAAAUAUUUCAACAACUGUUCAUUAUUCGAAAUCUUUGAGUUUAUCAAGACAAGAAUUAGGAUAUUGAAGACUCCACAACAACCAGAUAGCUUUAAAACCAAACAAUCCGAAAGAAAAACUAUUUGGUUAUUCUUCAAUUAUUAG
rnacentral:lncRNA from 13 species